AUUGAACGCUGGCGGCAUGCCUUACACAUGCAAGUCGAACGGUAACAGGUUAAGCUGACGAGUGGCGAACGGGUGAGUAAUGUAUCGGAACGUGCCCAGUCGUGGGGGAUAACUGCUCGAAAGAGCAGCUAAUACCGCAUACGACCUGAGGGUGAAAGCGGGGAAUGGCAAGACCGCGCGCGAGUGGAGCGGCCGAGAUCAGAUUAGGGAGUUGGUGGGGUAAAGGCCUACCAGGCCUACGAUCUGUAGCUGGUCUGAGAGGACGACCAGCAACCCUGGGAUUGAGACAGGGCCCAGACUCCUACGGGGGGAAGCAGUGGGGAAUUUUGGACAAUGGACGCAAGUCUGAUCCAGCAAUGCCGCGUGCGGGAAGAAGGCCUUCGGGUUGUAAACCGCUUUUGUCAGGGAAGAAAAGGUUCUGGUUAAUACCUGGGACUCAUGACGGUACCUGAAGAAUAAGCACCAGCUAACUACGUGCCAGCAGCCGCCGUAACAC
rnacentral:rRNA from 1 species